UCAAGCACAUCUUGCUUUGGAAUUUCUGGUCGACAACUCAGAACCUCAUCUUCCUUACAGUUAGCCCAUGGGGUGGGGAUGUGGAAUUGAAGGGGUGAAGUCGUGAGUUUGACCUCACAAGAACCCUUUACCUUCCUGAUGAGAUGAGUGCAUGGACGCAGGAAGGGGAUUUAGCCUGCAUCACAGGGCACUUACCAUGAGCAGAGAAGCACUCGUACUGCUAACCAGUUGUCUCAGCAAUGCACAGGGCUUCUUACAACAGCAGAGGGAGACCACGGAUGAGUCAUUGUGAAACCAGCCCGGGACUAAGAAGAUAACCCAAAGACAUGGCCGUUCAGCAGCUCCAUCUUCUGAGUGGAAGUCCCAGCUGGGCAGCACAAACUCUUUUGUUCACCUGGGCGGCGGUGAUAUCCGGGCCAGUCUAGAGGAUGGUGGAGUGGCCUCAUGGGGUUAUUUGCCCAAGGCCUCUGGAAAGAAACAUUCUGAGGGAAGAUGGACUCCAGACCAAGAACAGGGCUGUGUGAGGGACGCACUUCCCUGCUGAACUCUCAAGGGCAAGGCAGCUACCAUAAAUCCUGAGCACAAAAUCAGAGGCCUGCUACCCAUCAAAACGUGGCAAGCUGUGAAACUCCUCUGAGGCCUGGUGUUCCUGUCUGUAAAUUGCGCUGUUGUGAAAAUCCAAAGUGCCUGUCACUGAAAAGUUAGGUCGUUCUGAGGAUCAAUGUCACGGACUGUGCUCUUGGCUUUCAUGGUCAGCUGAUGAAGAAGACCUGCAUAUUGAACUGUUGUCGAGUUGUCCAAGGUCGUUCGGAUGGGAAUGCCUGAGUGUAUGUCUGCCUGGCCGUAUUUAGGAUUAGAAGAUGCUGGCUACUGCUUCGUCUCCUGCUUUUUUUCAUCUAAUAUUCUGACUCAGGAAUUGAGAUGGGUAGUCUGCGGAUCCUAGAAUCAGUCUGGAGAUGGUGAUGAGAUUGCCAAGUGGAAUUGCCGUAAGCCUUGACUAGCAAGAAGCAGCUUACCUUGUGGAAUCUCGGGCCUUUCUUCUGACCACUGUAGGGACUAAGAGAACAAGAGGUGACCCAGAAGUCACCAUCAAGACCUGAGUAGACUGGUUUCCAGUGAGAACACUGCCCCUUCCACAAGCCCACCUCCUCAGAGCUGCAGGCAUUUUUCAGGCCUCAUCUAGCCUCCUCAUGGGGUGCUAUGCAUGGCCCAUUAACAAAGAAGAUGUACUUUCUGCCCUUGAGAAGCUUGUGAUCCAGAACGAGAAUAGACAAAUCUGGAUCCACCUUACUUCCAUUCUCUGCUUUCAGAACAAAUCUAGAUGUUUGGACAUAAACGUGACAGUGAUCACCUUGUUCUUCUCCUAAAGACAGUUUUGAAGAUGGAAGGAGACACAAGUCAAGAAAUGCAGGCGGCUUCCGGAAGCCGGAGAAUUCAAGCACAUGGAUUCAUGGAUAGAGCCUCCUGAAUGGAGUGUGUCCUGCCGACACCUUGAUUUUAGCCCCGGUGAGACCCACGUUGGACUUCGACCUCCAGAACCGUCUGCAUGUUGGCUGUGGCUUAGCUGGCCUUGACCAUUAUAGGACCCAGGCUGCAGCGGUAACACCUGGAGACUAUUCUUCCCAUCAUGGAGGGCAGGAGCUCAAGAAAGAUUCCCUCUGCACCAUUGUGGAUGCUGAGCCUGCCUGAGAUCCAGCCCAGGGCCCUGGCCACAGGCUGCUGGGCUGAACUUGUCCACAGCUGACAUCGACUUCGCCGGGGCAUUUUACUUCUGAUCUUCUCUCUCUCAAUACCCUUGCAAUGUCCCUGUUUCCAAAAUGAGUGCCCGAUGGGCCUGCUACUCCAGCUGCUGAAGAAACGAAAUGCGUGUACAAACCGAUGAGCAGCAGAGCCCAUCGGCGCUGAUACAAAGCGAGACCACAGAGAGGGCUGCUGUCUACGAUCCAGCCGCCUGCUUCCUGUUGGGGCCGCCAGCCUGGCCACCCAUCGACAGCAGGGGCUUCCUUCCAGUUCUCCUUGUUACGGCUUCACCGUUGGCUGGCGUGGUCAAUACGGCAGGCAGAAUUACCCCAACUCACAGAUACCCUGCACAUUUUGCAAGUUCUCUUUGUGAUGACCUGCGUUGGUUCCCGGUUUCGCUAACUGGAAGAAAUGUGAAGAGGAUUUUCGCAGUUAGGGAGAAAGACCUUCAUCAAGUCUGCCGCAGUGGAUCAGCUUCAUUCCCCAGGAAUACUAAAGAGCCUUCAUGAGGGUCCUCCAGCGAGUCCUCAGUCUCAGUUCUCACAGACAGAAGACUGAAAUCUGAGAGGCUUAGCAGAAGGAGUUAAGGAGCCCAUCAAGAGGAGGAUGGACAGACCAAAGAAAAUAGCCCGAGGGAACAGACACCUGAGAUACAGAGUUUCCAUAAGGAGUAGAAAACACUGUCAUAAUCAAAGAAGGAAACGAUAGCUGUGAUUCCUAAAGAUGCUGAAGAAGUCAAAUGUUCGAUUCCUGCUCCUUUUGCUUCGGCUUCAUUUCUCUUCAGAAUACAGCCGGAUCUGCCCCCGGAAGGAGUGUUCAAGGCUGGGGCAGGAGGCGACUUUCCUCAUCGGACCCUGAGACAAGGAGAUGCCCUCUGGCCCCAGAGGCCCCCCAAGAAAGACAGUCGCUUAUGUUCAGAGCAGUAGCUAAUUUCCAACGUUACUGACUUUUCAUUCAUGCAAUAAAGCAUAUGCCUUUGGAGUUAAGAAAGGGAUGAAGCUGCAUGUGGGUCUACAAUUGCCUCAGAUUUUCAAGAAGUCAAAUAUAUAUGGAUAAUUGCAAUGCACAGUCCCAAAGGCCGUGCUGGCGUUGGAGCAUAGAGUGGAAACGUACCGUCUCACUGUGAUUAGGAGAAGCAACCAGAGAAGGACCUCAUCACAGGUCAUUCACUUGUCAAAGAACCUGGAGCCUUUGUCUUACAGAAUUGCCCAUAUUCUGGAUUUGAAUGGUUACUUCUUCAUGGGGUCUGGAUCAUUUCUCUCUCCGCUGUUAUCUCCUGAUAGUGGUAAUUUAUCAUCACCAUCACCAUCGUCACCAUCACCACAUUGUACCAAAUCAUCCCAGCAUUGUUGGAAGGAACACGGACCACGAUCUCAUGUUGGUGCUCAAGCUUGGGGACUGAUUCCCGUACAAAGACAAUGCACGGACUUGUGCAAUGGCCAAGAAAGGCCGGCCCUGCAGCUGCAUUCAGAGCAGGGAGUUUCUGGAAACAGACCUUUCUGACGAUAAUUAGAUGGUUGGAGCAUGAACUUUGCCGCCAUGCUGGAUUCAUACCUUGUACCCCUCACCAGCUGAGAGACCUUGGAAAACCUCCGCCACGUUUCUGUACCUUAGCUUCCUUCUCAGCUACACGGAAAUAGCAGCACGUAUCCCUGAGGGCCGUUGUGAAGAGCGAGUGAGCUAAAGCCAAGGGCAGGGCCCGGAGCUCCAGGUUCCAGCUCCCAGGCCGAGUGGCUGCUAAAUGCCUCUGGAACAGGACCUAAGAGUCACCCCAGACCCAGGGGGAGGAAGGAGAGUGACCAAAACUCUACAGAGGCAGCACGACCACCAGCCCGUCCCCUGGGUUCCCCUGCACAGAAGACACAUCCUGAACAGACACUGUCCCAGUAUCAGGGAAACCAGCUUCUUUUCAUUUCAUCAACAAAACUGGACACGGAUCAAUUUCAACUGACCUUUGCCGAAAGGUGGCGCUGUUGAGGUACCCAAGGGAAUCCUCUACAUCAGUGAUGUGAAAAAUCCUGUUGCCUGAAGUCAAAGAGAAAAUAUGAUGCUGGCAUGCUAAUUGCGUGAGACAACUCGGCCCGC